UACGAAGGGGGCUAGCGUUGCUCGGAAUCACUGGGCGUAAAGCGCACGUAGGCGGAUUGUUAAGUCAGGGGUGAAAUCCUGGAGCUCAACUCCAGAACUGCCUUUGAUACUGGCGAUCUUGAGUCCGGGAGAGGUGAGUGGAACUGCGAGUGUAGAGGUGAAAUUCGUAGAUAUUCGUAAGAACACCAGUGGCGAAGGCGGCUCGCUGGCCCGGUACUGACGCUGAGGUGCGAAAGCGUGGGGAGCGAACAGG
rnacentral:rRNA from 1 species